UAUCCUGGCUCAGAUUGAACGCUGGCGGCAUGCUUUACACAUGCAAGUCGAACGGUAACAGGGAGCUUGCUCCGCUGACGAGUGGCGAACGGGUGAGUAAUAUAUCGGAACGUACCCAAGAGUGGGGGAUAACGUAGCGAAAGUUACGCUAAUACCGCAUACGAUCUAAGGAUGAAAGCAGGGGAUCUUCGGACCUUGUGCUCCUGGAGCGGCCGAUAUCUGAUUAGCUAGUUGGUGAGGUAAAGGCUCACCAAGGCGACGAUCAGUAGCUGGUCUGAGAGGACGACCAGCCACACUGGAACUGAGACACGGUCCAGACUCCUACGGGAGGCAGCAGUGGGGAAUUUUGGACAAUGGGCGCAAGCCUGAUCCAGCAAUGCCGCGUGAGUGAAGAAGGCCUUCGGGUUGUAAAGCUCUUUUGUCAGGGAAGAAACGGUGGGGGCUAAUAUCCUUCGCUAAUGACGGUACCUGAAGAAUAAGCACCGGCUAACUACGUG
rnacentral:rRNA from 1 species